GUGCUGUGUUUUUUUUGUUAGCAGCGUGAAUUAACAAAGCUAGACCAAGCUAAGAGUUCAGGGAAAAAAUGAAUGCUAUUUUUUAAUUACUGUAAAGCAUCUGGAAGAGAGCAGCAAUAACCUCAAUAUCUGGAGUAUUUUCCGUUAGUCAUCGUAUUGACUUGAAUGCUUUCCUGGGGGACUGAACUAGGGAUGGAAUGCUGCUGGAAACCAUGUCAGGCAAAACAAGUUAAUCUGACUGGAGACAACAGCCAAGUGCCCAGAGAGUUGUGCAAGAAGUGACCAAUCCUGUUGGAAACGUUCCUCUGACAAGUCAUCCAGGAACCUUGAAGAAUCGUUGGGGGUUUCUGUUUGUCAGCAAUUUAACGGCCCAAUCCCAAUAACGCAACAGGGGGUAUGGAUGACUAGUCAUAAAGACCAUUUCUGUUGGAGACCUUAUCAUCCAAUAGUGUAGGAGCCUAGCAUGUAGGGGCCUCUUACAGUUGUAGCAAUAGUUGUGAUAACAGAGUGGUUAGUCUCCUCAUUGGAAAAGUGUCUACGGAGAGCCAAGGAAAAUCGUUACAGGAGGUACUUUCCAAAGACUUUGGAGCUGCUGCAAGUAAGAGACUGAGAGCAUACUUCAUCAAAUCCAUUCAUUGAUUGGACCAAUCAUAAUGGCAAUUUAACAUGAGGACAUUUUUUCACUAGCAUCCCACACCAAUGUGUCACUUGAGUGAAUUAUGGAGAACAUGACACCUUGACAGCAUUGAGUUAGGGCGUACAUGAUUAGCGUUGAUGUACAAUAUCAUUGCCUCCAUUUUUGAUGUCACUGAUGAUGUCCUUACAUGAGGUUGGUAUGGUUGCUAUGAUGCUUGGAUAAUGAGAACUACAGUUUAAGUUGGAAGUUUACAUACACCUUAUCCAAAAACAUAUAUUUUUUUAAAUCCUGACAUUUAAUCCGAGUAAAAAUUAUCUGUCAUAGGUCAGUUAGGAUCGCCACUAUAUUUUAAGAAUGUGAAAUGUCAGAAUAAGAGGAGAGAGAAUGAUUUAUUUCAGCUUUUAUUUCUUUCAUCACAUUCCCAGUGGGUCAGAAGUUUACAUACACUCAAUUAGAAUUUGGUAGCAUUGCCUUUGAAUUGUUUAACUUGGGUCAAAUGUUUCAGGUAGCCUUUCACAAGCUUCCCACAAUAAAUUGGUUGAUUCUUGGCCCAUUCCUCCUGACAGAGAUGGUGGAACUGAGUCAGGUUUGUAGGCCUCCUUGCUCACACAUGCUUUUUCAGUUCUGCCCACAAAUGUUCUAUAGGCUUGAGGUCAGGGCUUUGUGAGAGGGCCACUCCAAUACAUUGACUUUGUUGUCUUUAAGCCAUUUUGCCACAACUUUGGAAGUAUGCUUGUGGUCAUUGCUUGUGGUCAUUGUCCAUUUGGAAGACCCAUUGUCCAUUU
ensembl:lncRNA